rnacentral:lncRNA from 1 species
AACCAUCCUAUUAUCCAGCAUCUAAUCCGACAACUGAAAGGAAAGAAAGUUACCCUGAACCAACAAAAGGAGUGAAGCCUCUGUUUUCCCCUGGCUAUGCACAACCACAUUUGCCAACUUCAAACCCUCAGCCUCAAAGGAAAGAAAGUUACCCUGAAACAGCGCAUGGCGCAAAGCCUCUGUUUUCCCCUGGUUAUACACAACAACCACAUUUACCUACUUCAAACCCUCAGCCUCAAAGGAAAGAAAGUUACCCUGAAACAGCGCAUGGCGCAAAGCCUCUGUUUUCCCCUGGUUAUACACAACAACCACAUUUACCAACUUCAAACCCACAGCCUCAAAGGAAAGAAAGUUACCCUGAAACAGUGCAUGGCGCAAAGCCUCUGUUUUCCCCUGGUUUUACACAACCACCACAUUUACCAACUUCAACCCUGCAGCCUCAAAGGAAAGAAAGUUACCCGGAAACAGCGCAUGGAGCAAAGCCUCUGUUUUCCCCUGGUUAUGCACAACAACCACAUUUACCAACUUCAAACCCGCAGUCUCAAAGGAAAGAAAGUUACCCUGAAUCAACGCAUGGUGCAAAGCCACUGUUUUCCCCUGGUUAUACACAACAAUCACACUUACCAACUUCAAGUCCAAUGCAUCAAAGAAAAGAAAGUUACCCUGAGACAGCACACGAUGCAAACC